rnacentral:rRNA from 1 species
UACGUAGGGUGCGAGCGUUAAUCGGAAUUACUGGGCGUAAAGCGUGCGCAGGCGGUUCGUUGUGUCCGUCGUGAAAGCCCCGGGCUUAACCUGGGAACUGCGAUGGAAACUAGCGAGCUGGAGUGUGGCAGAGGGGGGUGGAAUUCCCGGUGUAGUGGUGAAAUGCGUAGAUAUCGGGAGGAACACCAGUGGCGAAGGCGACUACCUGGCCUGUUCUUGACGCUGAGGCGCGAAAGCUAGGGGAGCAAACGGG